rnacentral:rRNA from 1 species
UAGGGAAUCUUCCGCAAUGGGCGAAAGCCUGACGGAGCAACGCCGCGUGAGUGAUGAAGGUCUUCGGAUCGUAAAACUCUGUUAUUAGGGAAGAACAAAUGUGUAAGUAACUAUGCACGUCUUGACGGUACCUAAUCAGAAAGCCACGGCUAACUACGUGCCAGCAGCCGCGGUAAUACGUAGGUGGCAAGCGUUAUCCGGAAUUAUUGGGCGUAAAGCGCGCGUAGGCGGUUUUUUAAGUCUGAUGUGAAAGCCCACGGCUCAACCGUGGAGGGUCAUUGGAAACUGGAAAACUGGAGUGCAGAAGAGGAAAGUGGAAUUCCAUGUGUAGCGGUGAAAUGCGCAGAGAUAUGGAGGGACACCAGUGGCGAAGGCGACUUUCUGGUCUGUAACUGACGCUGAUGUGCGAAAGCGUGGGGAUCAAACAGG